AGCAUAAUUUAGUAUCAAUUUGUAAUUCCAGAGUGCUCUCUUAACAACAUCUCUUUAUGAUGGGCAUUUCAAAACAUUUUAUGUUCUUUGUUCUUCUUGUACUAUUAAUGAUGAUAACCACUUCAAGUCUUGAAGCUAACCAUGUAUUUCUUCAACAUCCUAAAAGUCAGCACUCACUAUUUUAAUUUUUCUUUGGCAACAUUAAAUGAUUUUCUUUGUCUUGGAAUUAAUUUAUAUGUUAAUUAAUAAUGAUUAUUUCUUAUUUUAUAUAAUUAAAUAUAUAGGUGAUUAUUGGAAGAUGUUUUCAACGAUUGGUUUGGAGUGCAAAUGCUGUGAUGGUGAAGGAGGUGAAUGUACAAAGUCAUGGCAUUUGAACUUGCUCAAAUUUUCAGUGCUCUUCUUGGAAACAAUAUUCAUCUCGAAAACCCUAAUUAAUUAACCACAUACAAUGCUUAUUUCGCUUACAUGUGAUAUAAUAAUUAUAUACUUGAUACUAUUACAACAACAACAUACUCAAUGAUAACAUAAAAAUAAUCUAUCCAGUAUUCUACAUGAAAUUAAUAAAGUAACGAUAUUUAGAACAAAUAGUCUUUAAGUUUACAUGGCCAUUAUAUGUGGCACGUGAAAUUUUAUAGUUUUAAUUGUUAUUCUAUGUUAUUGCCAGUUGAUGUAAAAUAAAGUGUUUUUCUAUCAUUCUAUGCUUGCCAUUUAAUUCGUUGUUUAAUUUCUACUCUAAUACCAAUCAUUUUAUAAGUUA
rnacentral:lncRNA from 1 species